rnacentral:rRNA from 1 species
GACAGAGGUGCCGAGCGUUAGGCGGAAUCACUGGGCUUAAAGCGUGUGUAGGCGGACCGUUAAGUGUCUUGUGAAAUCCCACGGCUCAACCGUGGAACGGCUGGGCAUACUGGCGGUCUUGAGCGGUCCAGGGGCGAGCGGAACAAGCGGUGGAGCGGUGAAAUGCGUAGAUAUCGCUUGGAACGCCGACGGUGAAAACAGCUCGCUGGGGACCCGCUGACGCUGAGACGACGAAAAGCCAGGGGAGCGAA